rnacentral:miRNA from 3 species
AUGGUACCCUGGCAUACUGAGU